AACCAAAAUAAAGAAAGACCACCCCUAAUGCUAGAUCCCCGAUCGCCCCAACUGGGCUCCACUACUAAUCAAAAGGAAACGAAACACAACAACGAAAAGGUCUUCAUCGAGCUCCCACUUGAGCUGGGUUGUGUCAUCUGCACUGGUAUCAUCGGCACCUGCAAACUGAAAUCCCGCAAGGAAGAAGAACGAGUCCAUGAAGAAGACAAACGGACGUAGUCGAAC